CGCGCGUCUGUGGUUGAAAGUCGAUGCCAGUCGCAGGCGAAACGAUCCACGUAAGCCGGGAAAAUUCCGGUGAGCAUGGUGCGGCUUAGAGGUAAGUCCUGCCAGCAUGUCCGGCUGUGCGCGCAAAGCGUGGCGGACGGCGGCUGAGAGGGGCAGUAGUGGGGAGGCAGAGUCCUUAGGAGCGAACCCUCCUGCAGGCGAGUGUGGGGUCAAAGACCAGGUCAGGCGCG
rnacentral:ncRNA from 1 species